rnacentral:rRNA from 1 species
UUGAACGCUGGCGGCAUGCCUUACACAUGCAAGUCGAACGGUAACAGGUCUUCGGAUGCUGACGAGUGGCGAACGGGUGAGUAAUACAUCGGAACGUGCCCGAUCGUGGGGGAUAACGAAGCGAAAGCUUUGCUAAUACCGCAUAAGAUCUACGGAUGAAAGCAGGGGACCGCAAGGCCUUGCGCGAACGGAGCGGCCGAUGGCAGAUUAGGUAGUUGGUGGGAUAAAAGCUUACCAAGCCGACGAUCUGUAGCUGGUCUGAGAGGACGACCAGCCACACUGGGACUGAGACACGGCCCAGACUCCUACGGGAGGCAGCAGUGGGGAAUUUUGGACAAUGGGCGAAAGCCUGAUCCAGCCAUGCCGCGUGCAGGAUGAAGGCCUUCGGGUUGUAAACUGCUUUUGUACGGAACGAAAAGACUCUGGUUAAUACCUGGGGUCCAUGACGGUACCGUAAGAAUAAGCACCGGCUAACUACGUG